rnacentral:misc_RNA from 1 species
UAUGGUACUACAGAGGCAUGAAGGUUGUCGCUGACCUUUCUGAAAGGUCGUGCACGCCGGAGUGCUCUCACACACAAUCCACCUCACCACUUGUGCUUCACCGCGCGGUGUCGCUCCCUCUUGGCUUGCUUCGAGAGGGGGAGGCUUGCGUCACCCACACAUACACACACACAAUAUACAGUCUGGUAGUUUAGAAUGUCAAUCAAUACAACUUUCAACAAUGGAUCUCUUGGCUCUCGCAUCGAUGAAGAACGCAGCGAAAUGCGAUACGUAAUGUGAAUUGCAGAAUUCAGUGAAUCAUCGAAUCUUUGAACGCACCUUGCACCCCUUGGUAUUCCGAGGGGUACACCCGUUUGAGUGUCGUGAAUUUCUCAACCACCCGAUCCUUGUGGAUCUCGUGGCUUGGACUUGGGAGUUGCUGGUCUUUCCAGAUCAGCUCUCCUGAAAUGCAUUAGCAGAAGUGGUCGAGGCGAGUUUUCGGCGUGCACGGCCUUUGACGUGAUAAUUCAUCGUCAUGGCUGGAGCGUCUUUGGACUACGUAUUAGACUUUCUUUGCUUCCAACGAAAACCCAGUCAAGCUUAGCUACUAGUGCCCUAGUACGAACGCGGCUUGCACCCCAUUUCGAAUCUUG